rnacentral:rRNA from 1 species
AGAUUAAGCCAUGCAUGUCUAAGUACAAGCCUCACUAAGGUGAAACCGCGAAUGGCUCAUUAAAUCACACCUAAUCUACUGGAUAGUUAACAGUUACUUGGAUAACUGCGGUAAUUCUGGAGCUAAUACAUGCACAAAGCCCCGAACUUACGUGAGGGGCGCUUUUAUUAGAUCAAAACCAAACGGCUUCGGCUGUUCUCUUGGUGACUCUGAAUAACUUUGGGCUGAUCGCAUAGCCUAGCGCUGGCGACAUAUCCUUCGAAGGUGUGCCCUAUCAACUGUCGACUGUGGCAUAGACGCCCACAGUGGUUUUGACGGGUAACGGGGAAUCAGGGUUCGAUUCCGGAGAGGGAGCCUUAAAAACGGCUACCACAUCUAAGGAAGGCAGCAGGCACGCAAAUUACCCAAUGACCGAAGGUCGAGGUAGUGACGAAAACUAACGAUACGGGACUCAUCUGAGGCCCCGUAAUCGGAAUGAGUACACUUUAAAACCGUCCCCGAGGAUCUAUUGGAGGGCAAGUCUGGUGCCAGCAGCCGCGGUAAUUCCAGCUCCAAUAGCGUAUAUUAAAGUUGUUGUGGUUAAAAAGCUCGUAGUUGGAUCUCGGCGGUCUGAGGGCGGUUCGCUUGCUUAAGCGCUACUGCCCUAUAGGCCGUAGUUUUGCCAGAGGU